AGCAGUAUGGUAUAGUGCGCACGCGGAGUAUUGAUGUUGAAGAGAUAUGUCAUCGCCCCGAGGUCCUGGUUCGAAUCCAGGUGCUGUUC